rnacentral:rRNA from 1 species
CUGGGCCAUCCCACACUGAAUACACCCAAUGUCAUCUGAUCUUGGAAGCUAAGCAGGGCCAGGCCUGGUUAGUACUUGGAUGGACAACCCAGCCUGGGCACUGUGUUAAAUUAGCAAGAAAUGGUCUUGG